rnacentral:rRNA from 1 species
UACGAAGGGGGCUAGCGUUGCUCGGAAUCACUGGGCGUAAAGCGCACGUAGGCGGAUCUUUAAGUCAGGGGUGAAUCUGGAGCUCAACUCCAGAACUCGCCUUUAUACUGGGGAUCUCGAGUCCGGAAGAGGUGAGUGGAACUCCGAGUGUAGAGGUGAAAUUCGUAGAUAUUCGGAAGAACACCAGGUGGCGGAAGGCGCUCACUGGGUCCGGUACUGACGCUGAGGCGCGGAAAAGCCCAGGGGGAGGCCGGAACGGGGGAUUAAGAUA